CGCAGCAAAAGUGUUCAGAGUCUGCCCAGCUGCUGACUUGGAGUGCUCAGCCCCAACCAGGAUCUUCGCUGGACUUUGAAGGUUUUGCCAGCCCUUCUCCCCACUGCUCUGGCAAAGGCAAAAAUGGAAGCAGGGCUCAAGCCUGAUGCGGAGCUGCUUAGACAAGGUCUCCUGCCCGUCUGUGAAUCCCCCUCUUCCUUUGGGACCCAGAUGUUGGAGAGCCACCCCAGAGGAGAAUGGAUCUCAUACAAGCUCCAGCUGGUUCCCCUGGCCCCAAGGCCAUCCGUUGGCUGCCCUCAGAGCACUGUGGGCAGACUGACAGGAGAAGCCUGCCUAGCAGCUGGAGUGCCAUCACCUACCAAUUGGACACAUGUGCACUGA
rnacentral:lncRNA from 1 species